rnacentral:lncRNA from 1 species
UAACUGAAGGAAGGAAAGGGGCCCACCCGGAGGAGGAAGGGCAAAAAUCUAUUUAUACACAAAACAGCUUUGCAAGGGGGAGAGGCACCUGAUAUAAAAGUUUUGGGUCACUUGAAGCAUGACAGGAAGAUGGUAAAAUGGAGCCAGAAUCUGAGAAGGCUGGGAAGAGGGGGAAGUACCAGCUGCAGAGGUUUGAAGGGCGCCAUGUCCCUCACCUCUUCAGAGCUUCUUCUCCCUGUUGCUACCGCCAAGAGAAGAGAGUCUUGACAGAUAUUUAUGAAGUACCUACUAUGAGCCAGAUACCACGUGCUGACAAUACAAGGAUCACGGACACUGCAGGCCUCACAGUCUGGAAGAAGGAGGCACAUGAGCAGAGGAAGCCAGCUGCCAUGUCAUGAGGACACUCCAGUGGCCCUAUGGAGGGGUCCUGCAAGUAAGGACCAGAGGCCUCCCUGUCAACCUGCCAGCAGGUGUGAGCCAUCUUGGAAGCAGAUUCUCCAGCCCAGAUCUUCAGAUGACCACAGGCCCAGGUGACCUCCUGACUGCAACCCCAAGCCACAACCAUGCAAUGAGCCACUCCCUCUUUCCUGCCUACCAUAAACUGUGUGAGAGAAUAAACUGUGAGUGUAUUGUCACUUUGGGCUAUUUAACUGAGCAGAAAUCUGUUAUGCUGCAAUAGAUAAUCAACCCUUCAGCUUUGGAGCCAUCUAGGAAGGUUUAGGGACCAGCAUGGCUUUGGGAGGAGCAAUUCAUUCCAAGCCAAUUUAAUUUCCUCUCAUGAUGAAGUGACCUGGCAUGCGGAUAAGGGAGCAAUAAGUGUAUCUCCUCGCCUCUGGAGGGCUUUUAAUUCAAUACCACAUGCCACUCUCAUCAACAUGCAGGGAGGCAGGGUCUGGGCAGUGGUUCAUUGAUUUGGCCCUAGGAGAAUACACGUAGGAGCUCAUCCAGGACUUGAGGGAGGGGAAGGAAUAUGGAUAUUUCUGUGAUCUGAAUGUGUCCCCCAAAAUUCAUGUGUUGGAAACUUGAUCCUUAAUGCAAUAGUGUUGGGAGGUGGAACCUUUGGGGAGGUGUUUAGAUCAGGAGGGCUCUGCCUUCAUGAAUGGAUCAAUGCUAUCACAAAAGGGCCUGAUGGAGGCAGUUUGGUUCUUUUUUUGCCUUUCCUUCUGCCUUCUGCGUGGGAGGGCACAGCAUUCAAGACACCAUCUUAGAAGCAGAGACUGGGCCCUCACCAGACACAAAACCUGCCAGUUCCUUGAUGUUGGACUUAUCAGAAUCCAG